UGAUGUAAAAGGCAGUGGCUCAACCAUUGUGUGCAUUGGAAACUGUUAGACUUGAGUGCAGUAGAGGAGAGUGGAAUUCCAUGUGUAGCGGUGAAAUGCGUAGAUAUAUGGAGGAACACCGGUGGCGAAAGCGGCUCUCUGGACUGUCACUGACACUGAGGCUCGAAAGCGUGGGUAGCAAACAGGAUUAGAUACCCUGGUAGUCCACGCCGUAAACGAUGAGUGCUAGUUGUUUGGGGCUAUCCAGCCCUAAGUGACGCAGCAAACGCAUUAAGCACUCCGCCUGGGGAGUACGACCGCAAGGUUGAAACUCAAAGGAAUUGACGGGGGCCCGCACAAGCGGUGGAGCAUGUGGUUUAAUUCGAAGCAACGCGAAGAACCUUACCAGGUCUUGACAUACUCGUGCUAUUCCUAGAGAUAGGAAGUUCCUUCGGGACACGGGAUACAGGUGGUGCAUGGUUGUCGUCAGCUCGUGUCGUGAGAUGUUGGGUUAAGUCCCGCAACGAGCGCAACCCUUAUUGUUAGUUGCCAUCAUUAAGUUGGGCACUCUAGCGAGACUGCCGGUAAUAAACCGGAGGAAGGUGGGGAUGACGUCAAAUCAUCAUGCCCCUUAUGACCUGGGCUACACACGUGCUACAAUGGUUGGUACAACGAGUCGCAAGACAGUGAUGUCAAGCUAAUCUCUUAAAGCCAAUCUCAGUUCGGAUUGUAGGCUGCAACUCGCCUACAUGAAGUCGGAAUCGCUAGUAAUCGCGGAUCAGCACGCCGCGGUGAAUACGUUCCCGGGCCUUGUACACACCGCCCGUCACACCACGAGAGUUUGUAAUACCCAAAGCCGGGAGCUAACCUUUGGAGGCGC
rnacentral:rRNA from 1 species